rnacentral:rRNA from 1 species
AACGCUGGCGGCAGGUUUGACACAUGCAAGUUGAGCGACAAGCAGGUGCUUGCACCUGUGGAGGAGCAGCAAACGACUGAGUAACACGUAGGAACCUACCCUCAGGACCGGGAUAACAAGCCGAAAGGCCUGCUAAUACCGGAUAUAUUCUUCGGAAGGAAAUGGUCCGCCGCCUGAGGAGGGGCCUGCGGCGCAUUAGUUAGAUGGUGAGGUAAUGGCUCACCAUGGCUGUGAUGCGUAGCUGGUCUGAGAGGACGAUCAGCCAGACUGGGACUGAGACACGGCCCAGACUCCUACGGGAGGCAGCAGUUCAGAAUCUUGCCCAAUGGACGAAAGUCUGAGGCAGCCAUGCCGCGUGUGUGAAGAAGGCCCUCGGGUCGUAAAGCACUGUCAGGAGGGACGAUAGUGACGGUACCUCCUAAGGAAGCCACGGCUAAUUACGUGCCAGCAGCCGCGGUAAUACGUAAGUGGCGAGCGUUAUCCGGAUUUACUGGGCAUAAAGCGUUCGUAGGCGGCGUAGUAAGUUGGAUUUGAAGGACCGGGGCUCAACUCCGGAACCGGAUCCAAAACUACUAUGCUAGAGCGUAUCAGAGGGCAGUGGAAUUCCCGGUGUAGCGGUAAUAUGCGUAGAUAUCGGGAGGAACACCAGUGGCGAAGGCGACUGCCUGGGGUACUGCUGACGCUGAGGAACGAAAGCUAGGGGAGCGAACGGGAUUAGAUACCCCGGUAGUCCUAGCCGUAAACGUUGGGCACUAGGUGUCGGGAGCUUCGACCCUCUCGGUGCCGCCGCUAACGCAUUAAGUGCCCCGACUGGGAAGUACGGCCGCAAGGUUACAACUCGAAGGAAUUGACGGGUACCCGAACAAGCAGUGGAGCAUGUGGUUUAAUUCGAUGCUACGCG